AAAGAGACAAGGGAGCUGUGCUACCUCUGUAUUCGUUGGAGACCUUCAUUUGACUGGUGUUGCCUCUGCCUCGUGGCCUUCACGCCUCUUCUCUGUUGUUCCGAGCUCAUGCAUGCCUGCGGAGGUGACAGACCGGGAGACCAGACUGCUAUAUUCUCUGGGAAGCAGCAGGAGGUGGAAUAUGGGUCCAGAAAGGGCUCCAGGAAGAGGCAGCCCUGAAGGGAGCCAUCAGGACAGAAGAGUUAUACAACCACAGCCUCGGAGGACCUCCUUCAGUUCACCUCCCUGUAUUAGAAAUUAGAAAGGAUGAGAAGCUGCAAUUUCCCCGAGGCCAAAGCCAGCCAUAUCCAUCCCCUCGUGGACAUCUCGGUUCUCGUGAUCUGCAAAACAGAAGCAGGAGACAAAAGCAAAGGCUGUCCACCUCUCCAGGAGGGGAGCAAGAAUGAGCAGAAGCUGUGGGUUUACAGCCUAGGUUUCUCUUCUCCUUAACAAGACUCUGGCCCCACGCCCUGGACGCCUCAUCGGUGGCGGCAGCUGAGGCAAAUGGAUUUAUCCUUUGAGGACUGCAAGCUGUUGCCCUUCACAUCAAAGGAACGCCGCUAUCCAGACUCUCAAAACACGUACAUCGCUUUUUUCUUUAGUUCCUUUCUGCUCUUUUUGCUGUCUGGUAUUUUGGAGCAAAGCAUGGUGGUCAUCAAUUAAUCUUAAUUUUUCUCCCCUCCCUUCCUUCCUACUUUCUAAUUUUCCUUUCCUUCCUUCCUCUUUCUUCCU